rnacentral:rRNA from 1 species
GGACUACUGGGGUAUCUAAUCCUGUUCGCUCCCCACGCUUUCGUACCUCAGUGUCAGGAGUGGCCCAGCAAGCUGCCUUCGCCAUUGGUGUUCUUCGUAAUAUCUACGCAUUUCACUGCUACACUACGAGUUCCACUUGCCUCUGCCGUCCUCUAGCAUGCCAGUAUGUGAUGCACCGACAGGGUUGAGCCCCACGUUUUAACAUCACACUUAACACGCCACCUACGCACGCUUUACGCCCAGUGAUUCCGGAUAACGCUUGGACCCUACGUAUUACCGCGGCGGCUGGCAC